rnacentral:rRNA from 1 species
UACGUAGGGUGCAAGCGUUGUCCGGAAUUAUUGGGCGUAAAGAGCUUGUAGGCGGUUUGUCGCGUCUGCUGUGAAAUUUCGGGGCUCAACCCCGAACUUGCAGUGGGUACGGGGCAGACUAGAGUGUGGUAGGGGGAGACUGGAAUUCCUGGUGUAGCGGUGAAAUGCGCAGAUAUCAGGAGGAAUACCAGCGGCGAAGGCGGCGCUCUGGGCCGGUACUGACGCUGAGGGAGCGAAAGCGUGGGGAGCAAACAGG